rnacentral:rRNA from 1 species
UGUUGAGCGAUACGCUGGGUUUGCUUGAAAGAAAGGCGGAGUAUAAACUAAUGGAUAGGUUUUUUCCACUCAUUGGUACAAACUCCAAAACUUCUUCCAAAUUCGACCUCAAAUCAGGUAGGACUACCCGCUGAACUUAAGCAUAUCAAUAAGCCGGAGGAAAAGAAACCAACAGGAUUGCCUUAGUAGCGGCGAGUGAAGCGGCAAAAGCUCAAAUUUGAAAUCUGGCACUUUCAGUGUCCGAGUUGUAAUUUGAAGAAGGUAUCUUUGGGUCUGGCUCUUGUCUAUGUUUCUUGGAACAGAACGUCACAGAGGGUGAGAAUCCCGUGCGAUGAGAUGUCCCAGACCUAUGUAAAGUUCCUUCGAAGAGUCGAGUUGUUUGGGAAUGCAGCUCUAAGUGGGUGGUAAAUUCCAUCUAAAGCUAAAUAUUGGCGAGAGACCGAUAGCGAACAAGUACAGUGAUGGAAAGAUGAAAAGAACUUUGAAAAGAGAGUGAAAAAGUACGUGAAAUUGUUGAAAGGGAAGGGCUUGAGAUCAGACUUGGUAUUUUGUAUGUUACUCUCUCGGGGGUGGCCUCUACAGUUUACCGGGCCAGCAUCAGUUUGAGCGGUAGGAUAAGUGCAAAGAAAUGUGGCACUGCUUCGGUAGUGUGUUAUAGUCUUUGUCGAUACUGCCAGCUUAGACUGAGGACUGCGGCUUCGGCCUAGGAUGUUGGCAUAAUGAUCUUAAGUCGCCCGUCUUGAAACACGGACCAAGGAGUCUAACGUCUAUGCGAGUGUUUGGGUGUAAAACCCGUACGCGUAAUGAAAGUGAACGUAGGUAGGACCUCCUUUAGGAGUGCACUAUCGACCGAUCCUGAUGUCUUCGGAUGGAUUUGAGUAAGAGCAUAGCUGUU